GGUAAGUGUGCUAAAUAGAGGGUCCACCAAAAUGCAAAAAUAAAAGGAACUGGUAGAAGCGUUUUACACACGAUAUAUGUGAAGGAAAGGGGUAUUUUCCUUAAGGUAAUUGUAAAUAGGAAUUCGCUAUUAAAAGUCCGCCAGAGUUGAUGUUGAACCAUCAUUGGCUAAGCAUUUACGGAAUAGAGUAUCAUAUUUGAAAUCCUAAUUGAUAAUCGAUAAAAAGGUAGUCAAAAAGUGGAUAGUGCGCCAAAGGACCACGUUAAAGGGAAUGUCCGCCCGAAGCUGAAUGUUCGGUAAAAUUUGUCAGGGAUUUACAAAGAAAGAAGAUGUCUGUCAGGACUUUCUGGCAUGGGAUAGUCCACUUGGACUAACAAUAUAGAAGUUUUCCAAAGACAAUUUAAAGAAGAGAUGGUCCGCGGGGAAGACUAUCUAUUAUUGGGAGCAUCUUGGUAGAAUGGUCUGAAAUAAGGAAGUCUUAUGGGACUAUUUUACAGGUAUGAGUCUGAACUCAAGCCAGAUAGGGUCAAGUCCUAGAAAAAAAAAGGGUGUCUGGAAAAAUAUGAUUACGGCUACACUAGUAGACAUGCCUACCAAAUGGUUAGUUUAGAAUAGGUCAAGGCGUCAACAACGCCAUUCCAAACAUGCGGAAUCUCCUAAAUCAUUCAAGGAGUUUUAUCUCUAUGCAUUAAUUCUUAGUUACCU
rnacentral:lncRNA from 1 species